rnacentral:rRNA from 1 species
AGAAUCAACGCUGGCGGCGUGCCUAACACAUGCAAGUCGAACGAGAAAGUGGAGCAAUCCAUGAGUAAAGUGGCGACCGGGUGAGUAACACGUGACUAACCUACCUUCGAGUGGGGGAUAACCUCGGGAAACCGAGGCUAAUACCGCAUAACAUCGUGAGAUCAAAGCAGUAAUGCGCUUGGAGAGGAGUUCGCGGCAGAUUAGCUAGUUGGCGGGGUAAUGGCCCACCAAGGCGAUGAUCUGUA